UACGUAGGUGGCAAGCGUUGUCCGGAUUUACUGGGCGUAAAGCGUAUGUAGGCGGAUGUUUAAGUAGGAAGUGAAAGGUCAGAGCUCAACUCUGACACUGCUCCCUAUACUGGGCAUCUUGAGGGCCGGAGAGGAAAGCGGAACGACACGUGUAGCGGUGAAAUGCGUAGAUAUCGGGAAGAACACCAAAGGCGAAAGCGCUCUGCUGGGCCGAAACUGACACUGAGAGACGAAAGCUAGGGGAGCGAAUGGG
rnacentral:rRNA from 1 species